GAGUAUUGGCCAAUCCCAGCAGCCAUACUUUAACCACUCAUAGACUGCUGAGUGUUCAGACUGUGUUCAAAUAAGGCAAACGCCAAGCUGUAACCAAUCCAGCUGUUUCUGUACCUCACUUCCAAUUUCUAUGGUGUCAGAAGUGGGGUCUGAAAUAGAGCUUCUAACGACUUCCAGGAGCACUGAGUGAACAUGCAAGGUACCUACAGGAUCAACUUGUGUCCAUUGAUCUCUCAGAGCAGCUGGAGAUCAUGGAACCUGAAGACUGGAUCUUCUGAGAAUGUCAGAGAAAGACUGUCCUUGCCAUCCACAUUGCAGCAAAACUUUGGAACUUUGAACUUUGGGUUCAUAAUCUCGCAAAUGAGAAGGGUCCUUCCACACUCUUGGAACUGUACACCCAUUGGAAUCCUUAAGAAAUGAAAAAGGGGGCCAGGUGUGGUGGCUCAUGCCUGUAAUUCCAGCGCUUUGGGAGGCCAAGACGGGUGGAUCACUUGAGGUCAGGCAUUCGAGACCAACCUGAGCAACACGGGGAAACCGCAGAAUAUUUGUAUGUUGAUAAGAAGGGAAGAAGAGUGGCUAGAUGUUGGAGUGAUACUAUGAGGAGGUGUGUGGCAAUGGGAUCUUGUAAACAAGUGGAGGGGAUGGCCUCAACUUUGAGCACAGACUUCUUCCAAAGAGAAGGUAGAGUAUGUGAGAAGAGAUACAGGUAGGUGGAUAAAUACGGUGAUGAGAAUUUGUGGAACAGUAAUUCUCACUUUGAGUGUACAUGGGAAUCACCUAGAUUAUAUUUUAAAAUACUAAUGCCUACCCCCUAUACACACCUAACACCUGAGUUUCUUAAUUAAUUGAUUUGGGUUCCAAACUGGGUAUUGAUUUUUUGUCUGUAUUUUUGUCUUUUUUGGUGUUGUUAGUACGGAGAAGAUUCUUGGGUGCAUCCCAGGUUGAGAACCACUGUAGUAUAGAAGUCCUCUUAAGAUUGCCCAAUAUUUUCCAAUAAAACAGAAAACAAAGUCUUCAGCUCAGAGAGUGAGGGAGGAAGUAUUGUGGUUUGAGGUGAAAUGCAAAAACUUAAAUCCAAUUUCAACUAGGCAACUCAAAGGUGACAUAAGGUCCCUAAUGUAACGAGAAAAAGAAAGAUUAGGGCAGAAUUGAAUCAGAACAAGUCUUCGUAAAAGCAAUAGGGAGAUGGAAAGAGAAAACAUAAUGCAUCAUCCCUGAGAGAAAGACAUCAAGGACUAGAUGCCAAAGGAGAUAUUUGGCAAAGCUAGGCCUGCAGUUUCUAUGGGGGGGUUGGCAGGAACAUAGUGUAGAAGAAAGAGUCAGGAAAACUGGAUUAUUAUCCUGGCCGCAUCACUUCAGCCCUUGUCUGUUGAAGUCAAAUGUGUUAGAUGAAUCGUAGUUCAAUUCUGUAAUAUCUAAUAUAAUAUCUGCCACAAAAGACUAGAGAGACCUAAGACAGUUUUUUGGGAGUAAUAUAAUUUUUACAUGCCAGUUCAAGACACUUGGCUCUUUCUUUAUAGGAAAGUGACCCACUGAAGGGAUUUGAAUAGAAACAUAACAUGAUCAAAAUAUUUCACAAGGAUUCAUCUGGAGGUGGCAUGAAGGAAAAAAUUAGGAAAAAAGAUGAAGGAAAGUUUGAAGGAAAUUAUUGUUGAUUUAAAAGUGAGGCAAUGAGUCUGCAGUGAAGUGGUGGCAGUGGGAAUGGAAAGGAAAUGAUGGAUGUAAGAUAAAUUUUAGAGUAAAAUUCAACUAAUUGGAUGACUAAUUGGAUGGAGAGAGCAGGGAGUCAAGAAUGACUCAGUUUUGUGCUUAGUUGUCUAGGCAAUGGUGGCAGAAUGAAUAAGAAUCAGGGAUCAGGAUAGAAGUUGAGGAAGGAGCUGAAUUUAGGCAGAAAGAUGACAAAUUUGUUCUUUGACACAGUUGUGCUUUAAUUUGCUACAGAGGUGCCAAUGAAAUGCCCACCAGGCAGUUAGCUAUCUGAGAUUAGAGCUCAGAAGAAAAUAUGACCAGGAGAUGGAACUGAUGAUUAACCACCAAAUAUUUUAUUGUUAUGGCCAUGAGAAUAAAAUCUUGAGAGAGAAGACCCAGUGAGAAAGCUGAGUUGAAGGGAAUUUCUGUGCAUGGUGUUAACCCUUCAGUUGGUGGAUUGUGGGGAGGAAGGAGGCCUGAGGGAUUCCAGUGAAGAAGCUGGCAUGGAAAUGAGGCAUUCAAAAAACCUGGGGAAGUGGUCCCUUAGCAAUUAGGUUGGAAAUAUUUGGAUAUUUUAACAACUUUUUUUUAGCUGUACCUGUGUGUGCAGGCCGAAUGAACACCAGUCCUGAGUAUAAACGAGGUCAAUAUUGGUUUAUACUAGGUAAAGCUGCAGCUAGAUCUUUCUCUUGAUCCUGAGUUCUUAAGAACCCAGGAAGCUGUGCUAAAAGCAGCAGUUAUGGUUCCUAUUAGGCAGCACUGGAGUGAGGCAAGAAUUAGCAUUCUACAUUUUCAACAGGCACCCCCAAAUGAUUCUGAAACAUACCAGCACAUUAGCAAUGACUAGGAGAGUUACUUGGGUAACUACCUUCAUCCAUAAGAGCAAAAGAGAAUGAGGAUCCAAACUCCAAUGCCAAUAAAAUAACACCUGAAUUAGGUCCACCCUUAGGGAGUAUUUACUUAUAUGCCACAAGCCCAGCAUCUGGGGCUACCUUACCAGGACAGUAAAAAUCUUGAGCUUCACAAUCAACAUAACUGACUGGCUGGGAUACAGGAAGCCCAUUUUUGUGAGAUAAACAUUAUGUGCUGUUGCAAAUAAAGGCCAGUGAAAUAGCAGCAGAUCAGGUUGCUUUGGAUUCUAGGUUAAUCUUUUCACCAUUUGGGUCCAUGAGAUUUCCCAAAAGCUAUUUUUUUUUUUCUUGUGGGAGAUGAAGGGGAAGGAGACCAUUCUGGAGGAUGAAGCUAUGUUACUACAUGGUACAAUUAAAACACAAAUUAAAGAUAGGUCCUAAAAAAAAUGCUCUUCGUAUCAAAAAUGUGCAGAUGUACUGUAGCUUUAUGUAGUCUGAGUCAAUUUCAGUGGAAAUAAAAACACUUAGAGUGUCAUAGAAAUAACAUUUGCUAAGGGAAAGUUGAACUGGCAGGACUGAUCUAAUUCUGAU